ensembl:lncRNA
AUGGAACUACGUUGGUCAAGUCUGGAUCUCAGGUUCAGCAGGCUGAAGACUGGUUUGGCAACCCAUGAAAUCUGCAAGAAGGGGUGGAUCACUGCUCCCAAAUGAAAUAAUAUACAGUACUGGAGGAAGAUAGGGGAGGAGAUGCUGCAUAGACACAACUGACAGGUAUCCGAGAAUGUAUGGAUAACAAGAGAAUGAAUAUCUCAAGAAAUCAGACUCUGUUGAAAUCCCCCCCUUUUGAACCUAAUCCUCUCUCUCUUUAAAGGUAGCGGAAUAUAGAGAGACAAGAGUGGAAACGUGUAAACCAGUUGAAAGACUCUUCAGAGUGCAGCAGAAAGCCAGCGGUGGCUACAGUUAAGGUAACAGCAACUGAAAUGAAGAGACAAGGAGAAAUUUGGUAUAUAUUUUGGAAAUGCAGCUGAUUGGACUUUCACAUAGAUUUAAUAGGAAGGUGGAGUUGCAGAGAGAAG